rnacentral:rRNA from 1 species
GGGGGCCCGCACAAGCGGCGGAGCAUGUGGAUUAAUUCGAUGCAACGCGAAGAACCUUACCUGGGCUUGACAUACACCAGAUUGCUGCAGAGAUGUAGUGUCCCUUGUGGUUGGUGUACAGGUGGUGCAUGGUUGUCGUCAGCUCGUGUCGUGAGAUGUUGGGUUAAGUCCCGCAACGAGCGCAACCCUUGUCUUAUGUUGCCAGCAUUUGGUUGGGGACUCAUGAGAGACUGCCGGGGUUAACUCGGAGGAAGGUGGGGAUGACGUCAAAUCAUCAUGCCCCUUAUGUCCAGGGCUUCACACAUGCUACAAUGGUCGGUACAACGCGCAGCGACACUGUGAGGUGGAGCGAAUCGCUGAAAGCCGGUCUUAGUUCGGAUUGGGGUCUGCAACUCGACCCCAUGAAGUCGGAGUCGCUAGUAAUCGCAGAUCAGCAACGCUGCGGUGAAUACGUUCCCGGGCCUUGUACACACCGCCCGUCACGUCAUGAAAGUUGGUAACACCCGAAGC